rnacentral:rRNA from 1 species
AACGAACGCUGGCGGCAUGCCUAACACAUGCAAGUCGAACGAAGUCUUCGGACUUAGUGGCGCACGGGUGCGUAACGCGUGGGAAUCUGCCCUUGGGUACGGAAUAACUCAGAGAAAUUUGUGCUAAUACCGUAUAAUGUCUUCGGACCAAAGAUUUAUCGCCCAAGGAUGAGCCCGCGUAAGAUUCGCUAGUUGGUGGGGUAAAAGCCUACCAAGGCGACGAUCUUUAGCUGGUCUGAGAGGAUGAUCAGCCACACUGGGACUGAGACACGGCCCAGACUCCUACGGGAGGCAGCAGUGGGGAAUAUUGGACAAUGGGCGAAAGCCUGAUCCAGCAAUGCCGCGUGAGUGAUGAAGGCCCUAGGGUUGUAAAGCUCUUUUACCAGGGAUGAUAAUGACAGUACCUGGAGAAUAAGCUCCGGCUAACUCCGUG